UACGUAGGGUGCGAGCGUUGUCCGGAAUUACUGGGCGUAAAGAGCUCGUAGGUGGUUUGUCGCGUUGUCCGUGAAAACUCACAACUCAAUUGUGGGCGUGCGGGCGAUACGGGCAGACUGGAGUACUGCAGGGGAGACUGGAAUUCCUGGUGUAGCGGUGAAAUGCGCAGAUAUCAGGAGGAACACCGGUGGCGAAGGCGGGUCUCUGGGCAGUAACUGACGCUGAGGAGCGAAAGCGUGGGGAGCGAACAGG
rnacentral:rRNA from 1 species